CAGGCCUAACACAUGCAAGUCGAGCGAGAAAGCCCUUCGGGGUGAGUAUAGCGGCGGACGGGUGAGUAACGCGUAGGAAUCUACCCAGUAGCGGGGGAUAACAUGUGGAAACGCAUGCUAAUACCGCAUACGCCCUACGGGGGAAAGCAGGGGAUCUUCGGACCUUGCACUAUUGGAUGAGCCUGCGUCGGAUUAGCUAGUUGGUGGGGUAAUGGCCUACCAAGGCGACGAUCCGUAGCUGGUCUGAGAGGAUGAUCAGCCACACUGGGACUGAGACACGGCCCAGACUCCUACGGGAGGCAGCAGUGGGGAAUAUUGGACAAUGGGGGCAACCCUGAUCCAGCCAUGCCGCGUGUGUGAAGAAGGCUCUAGGGUUGUAAAGCACUUUCAAUAGGGAGGAAAAGUUAACGGUUAAUACCCGUUAGCCGUGACGUUACCUAUAGAAGAAGCACCGGCAAACUCCGUGCCAGCAGCCGCGGUAAUACGGAGGGUGCGAGCGUUAAUCGGAAUUACUGGGCGUAAAGCGCGCGUAGGCGGUUACAUAAGUUGGAGGUGAAAUCCCCGGGCUCAACCUGGGAACUGCUUUCAAAACUGUGUGACUUGAGUACAGCAGAGGAUAGUGGAAUUUCUAGUGUAGCGGUGAAAUGCGUAGAUAUUAGAAGGAACACCAGUGGCGAAGGCGACUGUCUGGGCUGAUACUGACGCUGAGGUGCGAAAGCGUGGGGAGCA
rnacentral:rRNA from 1 species